UAGAGAGUGGUACAUUGGAGGUGCGGAGAGGUUUGAUCUCUCAGAUGUGGGUUCGACUCCCGCCUCUCUAA
rnacentral:tRNA from 1 species